ACGGGUGAGUAACACGUGAGCAACCUGCCCCUGACUCUGGGAUAAGCGCUGGAAACGGCGUCUAAUACUGGAUACGAACAAGAAUCGCAUGGUUACUUGUUGGAAAGAUUUUUUGGUUGGGGAUGGGCUCGCGGCCUAUCAGCUUGUUGGUGAGGUAAUGGCUCACCAAGGCGUCGACGGGUAGCCGGCCUGAGAGGGUGACCGGCCACACUGGGACUGAGACACGGCCCAGACUCCUACGGGAGGCAGCAGUGGGGAAUAUUGCACAAUGGGCGGAAGCCUGAUGCAGCAACGCCGCGUGAGGGAUGACGGCCUUCGGGUUGUAAACCUCUUUUAGCAGGGAAGAAGCGAAAGUGACGGUACCUGCAGAAAAAGCGCCGGCUAACUACGUGCCAGCAGCCGCGGUAAUACGUAGGGCGCAAGCGUUAUCCGGAAUUAUUGGGCGUAAAGAGCUCGUAGGCGGUUUGUCGCGUCUGCUGUGAAAUCCCGAGGCUCAACCUCGGGCCUGCAGUGGGUACGGGCAGACUAGAGUGCGGUAGGGGAGAUUGGAAUUCCUGGUGUAGCGGUGGAAUGCGCAGA
rnacentral:rRNA from 2 species